rnacentral:rRNA from 1 species
UUAAGUUAUUAAGGGCGCACGGUGGAUGCCUUGGCACUAGAAGCCGAUGAAGGACGUUACUAACGACGAUAUGCUUUGGGGAGCUGUAAGUAAGCUUUGAUCCAGAGAUUUCCGAAUGGGGAAACCCAGCAUGAGUUAUGUCAUGUUAUCGAUAUGUGAAUACAUAGCAUAUCAGAAGGCACACCCGGAGAACUGAAACAUCUUAGUACCCGGAGGAAGAGAAAGAAAAUUCGAUUCCCUUAGUAGCGGCGAGCGAAACGGGAAGAGCCCAAACCAACAAGCUUGCUUGUUGGGGUUGUAGGACACUCUGUACGGAGUUACAAAGGACGACAUUAGACGAAUCAUCUGGAAAGAUGAAUCAAAGAAGGUAAUAAUCCUGUAGUCGAAAAUGUUGUCUCUCUUGAGUGGAUCCUGAGUACGACGGAGCACGUGAAAUUCCGUCGGAAUCUGGGAGGACCAUCUCCUAAGGCUAAAUACUCUCUAGUGACCGAUAGUGAACCAGUACCGUGAGGGAAAGGUGAAAAGCACCCCGGAAGGGGAGUGAAAUAGAACCUGAAACCGUGUGCUUACAAGUAGUCAGAGCCCGUUAAUGGGUGAUGGCGUGCCUUUUGUAGAAUGAACCGGCGAGUUACGAUUUGAUGCAAGGUUAAGCAGUAAAUGUGGAGCCGUAGCGAAAGCGAGUCUGAAUAGGGCGUUUAGUAUUUGGUCGUAGACCCGAAACCAGGUGAUCUACCCUUAGUCAGGUUGAAGUUCAGGUAACACUGAAUGGAGGACCGAACCGACUUACGUUGAAAAGUGAGCGGAUGAACUGAGGGUAGCGGAGAAAUUCCAAUCGAACCUGGAGAUAGCUGGUUCUCUCCGAAAUAGCUUUAGGGCUAGCCUCAAGUGAUGAUUAUUGGAGGUAGAGCACUGUUUGGACGAGGGGCCCCUCUCGGGUUACCGAAUUCAGACAAACUCCGAAUGCCAAUUAAUUUAACUUGGGAGUCAGAACAUGGGUGAUAAGGUCCGUGUUCGAAAGGGAAACAGCCCAGACCACCAGCUAAGGUCCCAAAAUAUAUGUUAAGUGGAAAAGGAUGUGGCGUUGCCCAGACAACUAGGAUGUUGGCUUAGAAGCAGCCAUCAUUUAAAGAGUGCGUAAUAGCUCACUAGUCGAGUGACACUGCGCCGAAAAUGUACCGGGGCUAAACAUAUUACCGAAGCUGUGGAUUGUCCUUUGGACAAUGGUAGGAGAGCGUUCUAAGGGCGUUGAAGCAUGAUCGUAAGGACAUGUGGAGCGCUUAGAAGUGAGAAUGCCGGUGUGAGUAGCGAAAGACGGGUGAGAAUCCCGUCCACCGAUUGACUAAGGUUUCCAGAGGAAGGCUCGUCCGCUCUGGGUUAGUCGGGUCCUAAGCUGAGGCCGACAGGCGUAGGCGAUGGAUAACAGGUUGAUAUUCCUGUACCACCUAUAAUCGUUUUAAUCGAUGGGGGGACGCAGUAGGAUAGGCGAAGCGUGCGAUUGGAUUGCACGUCUAAGCAGUAAGGCUGAGUAUUAGGCAAAUCCGGUACUCGUUAAGGCUGAGCUGUGAUGGGGAGAAGACAUUGUGUCUUCGAGUCGUUGAUUUCACACUGCCGAGAAAAGCCUCUAGAUAGAAAAUAGGUGCCCGUACCGCAAACCGACACAGGUAGUCAAGAUGAGAAUUCUAAGGUGAGCGAGCGAACUCUCGUUAAGGAACUCGGCAAAAUGACCCCGUAACUUCGGGAGAAGGGGUGCUCUUUAGGGUUAACGCCCAGAAGAGCCGCAGUGAAUAGGCCCAAGCGACUGUUUAUCAAAAACACAGGUCUCUGCUAAACCGUAAGGUGAUGUAUAGGGGCUGACGCCUGCCCGGUGCUGGAAGGUUAAGAGGAGUGGUUAGCUUCUGCGAAGCUACGAAUCGAAGCCCCAGUAAACGGCGGCCGUAACUAUAACGGUCCUAAGGUAGCGAAAUUCCUUGUCGGGUAAGUUCCGACCCGCACGAAAGGCGUAACGAUUUGGGCACUGUCUCAACGAGAGACUCGGUGAAAUCAUAGUACCUGUGAAGAUGCAGGUUACCCGCGACAGGACGGAAAGACCCCGUGGAGCUUUACUGUAGCCUGAUAUUGAAAUUCGGCACAGCUUGUACAGGAUAGGUAGGAGCCUUUGAAACGUGAGCGCUAGCUUACGUGGAGGCGCUGGUGGGAUACUACCCUAGCUGUGUUGGCUUUCUAACCCGCACCACUUAUCGUGGUGGGAGACAGUGUCAGGCGGGCAGUUUGACUGGGGCGGUCGCCUCCUAAAAGGUAACGGAGGCGCUCAAAGGUUCCCUCAGAAUGGUUGGAAAUCAUUCAUAGAGUGUAAAGGCAUAAGGGAGCUUGACUGCGAGACCUACAAGUCGAGCAGGGUCGAAAGACGGACUUAGUGAUCCGGUGGUUCCGCAUGGAAGGGCCAUCGCUCAACGGAUAAAAGCUACCCCGGGGAUAACAGGCUUAUCUCCCCCAAGAGUUCACAUCGACGGGGAGGUUUGGCACCUCGAUGUCGGCUCAUCGCAUCCUGGGGCUGUAGUCGGUCCCAAGGGUUGGGCUGUUCGCCCAUUAAAGCGGUACGCGAGCUGGGUUCAGAACGUCGUGAGACAGUUCGGUCCCUAUCCGUCGUGGGCGUAGGAAAUUUGAGAGGAGCUGUCCUUAGUACGAGAGGACCGGGAUGGACAUACCUCUGGUGUACCAGUUGUCGUGCCAACGGCAUAGCUGGGUAGCUAUGUGUGGACGGGAUAAGUGCUGAAAGCAUCUAAGCAUGAAGCCCCCCUCAAGAUGAGAUUUCCCAACUUCGGUUAUAAGAUCCCUCAAAGAUGAUGAGGUUAAUAGGUUCGAGGUGGAAGCAUGGUGACAUGUGGAGCUGACGAAUACUAAUCGAUCGAAGACUUAAUCAA